ACUUAGAUAGUUUAAUAAAAAUUUAGGUUUGUGGUUCCUAAGAUGAGGUUUUCUCUGAGUUU
rnacentral:tRNA from 1 species